GACGAACGCUGGCGGCAUGCCUAAUACGUGCAAGUCGAGCGAACAGAUGAAGUGCUUGCACUUCUGACGUUAGCGGCGAACGGGUGAGUAACACGUAAGGAAUCUACCUAUAAGCGGAGGAUAACAUUCGGAAACGGGUGCUAAUACCGCAUAAUAUCUUCUUCCGCAUGGAAGAAGAUUGAAAGACGGCUCUGCUGUCACUUAUAGAUGACCUUGCGGUGCAUUAGUUAGUUGGUGGGGUAAUGGCCUACCAAGACGAUGAUGCAUAGCCGACCUGAGAGGGUGAUCGGCCACAUUGGGACUGAGACACGGCCCAAACUCCUACGGGAGGCAGCAGUAGGGAAUCUUCCGCAAUGGGCGAAAGCCUGACGGAGCAAUGCCGCGUGAGUGAAGAAGGCCUUCGGGUCGUAAAACUCUGUUAUAAGAGAAGAACAAAUUGUAGAGUAACUGCUACAGUCUUGACGGUAUCUUAUCAGAAAGCCACGGCUAACUACGUGCCAGCAGCCGCGGUAA
rnacentral:rRNA from 1 species